rnacentral:lncRNA from 1 species
AAAAGUUUGAGGUUUUAAAAUUAUAAAGAAGAAAUAAAAAAAAGUGUGAACAAAAAGAUAUAAGAAAAAGCAAGAAAAAAAAUAAAAAAGGAAAAUAGAAAAUACAUAAAAAAAAAAAAUGAGAAAAAAGAAGAAAAAAUAAAAAAUGAAGAGGCAAAAAUAUGAAAGAAAAGAAAAAGAAAAAAAUUUAUAGAAAAUUUUAAAACAAAGGAAAAAGUGAACAAAAAAAAAUGAAAGCACAUAGAAAAAAGAAGAAAAAUUUGAAAGGAGAAAAAGUUAAUGAAAAAUUAUAAAAAUGCAAUAGAAAAUAACCAAGAAUGAUAAA